CAUUGAGGAUGGUACAUGAGAGCACAUGGAGGCUUGGGAUGUGAUGGUGACAGUGAAAAUGGAGAAGAGUAAAUGGAUUUGAGCUUUCUGAGGGUGUCUCUUCACUCUGGCACUUGUUUCCUUUGCUGUACAAAAGUACUUUUAAGAACCAAGAAAUGCUUCUCCAAGAACCAACAAGAGGAAUCAUUGGGAGAGAGUCCAUUGAAUUUGGCACUGACAUGGAAGGAAGAGAAGGCAAAUAAAUGUAUUGCUCUAGUGUUAAAAAUA